UACAGAGGUGGCAAGCGUUGUUCGGAAUUACUGGGCGUAAAGGGCGCGUAGGCGGCCAUCUAAGUCAGACGUGAAAUCCCCCGGCUCAACCUGGGAACUGCGUCUGAUACUGGCAGGCUUGAAUCCGGGAGAGGGAUGCGGAAUUCCAGGUGUAGCGGUGAAAUGCGUAGAUAUCUGGAGGAACACCGGUGGCGAAGGCGGCAUCCUGGACCGGCAUUGACGCUGAGGCGCGAAAGCCAGGGGAGCAAACGGG
rnacentral:rRNA from 1 species